UAAGUUUAAUGGCUUAAGAAACGGGGGAUCCACUUGGGGUGAAUUGAGCUAGAUUAUGAAUAUUCAUAAUUGCUAGCAUCAUAGGGAACCUUCAACCGAACCCGUCAGCUAACCUCGUCGGCACAUUUGGAAGGA
rnacentral:sRNA from 1 species